AAAAAGCUGUGGCUAGAAUUUCAAUGUAGCAAGAAUGCCUCUGCCAUAAAAGGAGUUCCACAGUAGCCACGAAGCUGCAGGAAGUCUCUCUGCUCCCAAACAUCAGCCCUUUGUUAAAUUUGCAGAGCUCACCAGAUUAGAUGGCACUCUGGACUGCCUCAUCCAAAGAAAUCUUGGCCACAGAGAGGGCCAGGGUCAUGGUACAACAAUGUCUGAUGAUGUCAAGGAAGCGUCUUUUCAGUGACGUCCCCAAGACCAGCCUAGUUUGAAAAGGCAAAACGCUA
rnacentral:lncRNA from 1 species